UUACCUACUUUCUUUCUUUCUUUUUUGUUUUUUUUUUUUGUUUUUGUUUUUGUUUUUUUCGAGACAGGGUUUCUCUCUGUAGCCCUGGCUGUCCUAGAACUCACUUUGUAGACCAGGCUGGUCUCGAACUCAGAAAUCCGCCUGCCUCUGCCUCCCGAGUGCUGGGAUCAAAGGCGUGCGCCACCACGCCCGACUGAAUACCUACUUUCAACACCAUGAUGGGGGCAGAAACCUCUCUCAACACCUACCCUAACUCUCAGCUCAGAGGGGAGGAGUCUGGGGUCCCUUACCCUGCCUUAGCGACACAGGACAGCUCUGUCUCAGACACCUGUGUUAGUAUUGCUGACCCAUUAGCCUGAAAGCUGGCAGGUGUGCCAGACGUGGCACCUGCAGGACUUGGGGACAGGAUCUCACUGUUCAACCUGUCUGUAUUGGUCCUGAGUUUUCUGUCUCAUCAGGUUUUCGGCCUCCCCAGUGCUGGGAUUGCAGAUGUGCAUCACACCCAUCCAUCUGUCCAGGUCUUGUCUAACCCUGCAGUCGGACUUGAAGUGUGGUUGGCAAUCCACUGUAACGUAUGUCUAAGUGUGUGCUUGUGAAUGGAGAAGCAACGGGAAAGAAAUGGCUGGGAUCUUAACAGCAACUGUUGGAGCUAGAGCAUAGAAAGUUUUUCAGCUUAAAAGGGAAACCAGGUAGGAUGUUAGUGUGUUAGUUAGUUCAGCCUUUCGGAAUCUCCCUUAUCUGUCUAGCAUCUGCUGCUUCUGUGAAGAACUGCUCCUGAGUGCUGCUCCAGUGGACUCCAGCUUAACAAAAUGGAAUAGGAAAUGGGGAGGGGCUCGUUCUGGAACUCAUCUUUCUUUGGUGCUGGAUAUUGAAUCCAGCUCUUGGGUCAAGCUAAUCAACUCCCUGCUUCUGAGCUGCACCCUCAGUCCUUGUCCCUACUUCUCUUGGCACUGGGCAAUGUGGGAAAACAGUCUUGGUUUUGCAUAGUCAAACUGGAGUGUUUGAAGAGCUGUGCUGACUAUAAUUACCCUGACACGUUUCAGCAGAAUGAUGCAAUUGAAAGUGAGGUGGUGGGGGGGGGGGGGAUGGCUCAGUGGUUAAGAGCACUGACUGCUCUUCCAGAGGUCCUGAGUUCAAUUCCUAGCAACCACAUGGUGGCUUACAACCAUCUUAAUGAAAUCCGAUGCCCUCUUCUGGUAUGAAGACAGUGUACUCACAUGCAUAAAGUAAAUAAGUCUU
rnacentral:lncRNA from 1 species